UUUCCGUAGGUGAACCUGCGGAAGGAUCAUUAGUGAAUUGAAUAUGUUAGCGGACCUCUUCGGAGUCCCUAGCAUCAAAUAAUAUCCAUAACACCUGUGAACUGUAAGGCUGUCUUAAGAACGAAAGUGAUUAGCGCGCCUGCCCAUUUUAUACAAACAUUAAAGCAACAAACGUGGUCUUAUUACAAUCUAAUAAAACUUUCAACAACGGAUCUCUUGGCUCUC
rnacentral:misc_RNA from 1 species